CUACGGGGGGCACCAGUCGAGAAUCUUCCGCAAUGGACGAAAGUCUGACGGAGCGACGCCGCGUGCGGGAUGAAGGCCUUCGGGUUGUAAACCGCUGUCAGUGGGGAGGAAAUGCGCCAGGGUUUUCCCUGGUGUCUGACCGAUCCGCAGAGGAAGCGCAGGCUAAGUUCGUGCCAGCAGCCGCGGUAACACGAACUGCGCGAACGUUAUUCGGAAUCACUGGGCUUAAAGAGUUCGUAGGCGGCCUUUCAAGUCGGGUGUGAAAUCCCUCGGCUCAACCGAGGAAUUGCGCCUGAUACUGUUGGGCUUGAGGGGGAUAGGGGUGAGCGGAACUGAUGGUGGAGCGGUGAAAUGCGUUGAUAUCAUCAGGAACACCGGUGGCGAAGGCGGCUCACUGGAUCUCUUCUGACGCUGAGGAACGAAAGCUAGGGGAGCGAACGGGAUUAGAUACCCUCGUAGUC
rnacentral:rRNA from 1 species